rnacentral:rRNA from 1 species
CCCCAGACUCCUACGGGAGGCAGCAGUGGGGGAUAUUGCACAAUGGGGGGAACCCUGAUGCAGCGACGCCGCGUGGGUGAAGAAGCGCCUCGGCGCGUAAAGCCCUGUCAGCAGGGAAGAAAAUGACGGUACCUGAAGAAGAAGCCCCGGCUAACUACGUGCCAGCAGCCGCGGUAAUACGUAGGGGGCAAGCGUUAUCCGGAUUUACUGGGUGUAAAGGGGGCGCAGACGGCGAUGCAAGCCAGGAGUGAAAGCCCAGGGCUCAACCCUGGGACUGCUUUUGAAACUGCCGGGCUGGAGUGCAGGAGAGGUAAGCGGAAUUCCUAGUGUAGCGGUGAAAUGCGUAGAUAUCAGGAGGAACACCGGUGGCGAAGGCGGCUUACUGGACAGUGACUGACGUUGAGGCUCGAAAGCGUGGGGAGCGAACAGGAUUAGAUACCCGCGUAA